rnacentral:rRNA from 1 species
CCUACGGGUGGCAGCAGUCGAGAAUCUUUCACAAUGGGGGAAACCCUGAUGGUGCGACGCCGCGUGGGGGAAUGAAGGUCUUCGGAUUGUAAACCCUUGUCAUGUGGGAGCAAAUUAAAAAGAUAGUACCACAACAGGAAGAGACGGCUAACUCUGUGCCAGCAGCCGCGGUAAUACAGAGGUCUCAAGCGUUGAUCGGAAUCACUGGGCGUAAAGGGUGCGGUGGCGGGUUCGUAAGUCGUGUGUGAAAGGCGCGGGCUCAACCCGCGGACGGCACAUGAUACUGCGAGACUAGAGUAAAGGAGAGGGAAGCGGAAUUCUAGGUGUAGCAGUGAAAUGCGUAGAUA